rfam:Canis lupus familiaris chromosome 9, whole genome shotgun sequence.
GCGCUAGCUUCGGCAGCACAGAUACUAAAAUUGGGAUGAUACAGAGAAGAUUAGCAUGGCCCCUGCGCAAGGAUGACACAAAUUCGUGAAGGACUUGUUGGCUUCAU